rnacentral:sRNA from 1 species
UUUCGUAACAAAUUUGUUCUCAGCUAAAAAAUGCUUUUAAAAAACCUUGUAAUUUUUUUUUGGCGGGAAAUAGAUUUACAAGGGAUUUUAAAAGGGUUUUAAAAGAUUUACAACGGAUUUUAAAAGGGUUUUAAAUUGGGAAAAAUGUCAUAAAAAUCAUCACUUUACAAAAAGUGGUGAAAAAAGCUUGAAUUUUACUUCUGGUGAAUUAAAUUACCAACUUUCAUUGACUUUCCAAUUAAAUCGUUAAUUUUUAUUGACUUUGCCAAAUAAGGUAUGUCGUUAAGUCAACUAACAGACUAAUUUAGUGGAGUUAGUCAACGUUAAUUGAUUCCGUUAAAACUCUAAAACGACGUAGUUUUGUGAUUUUCUUUUGAUAUUUAAAAAACAAAAAGUUGAAGUCACAGUGGUUUGAACCUUCUACCUUUACGAUAUACGACGAGAUAUAUAGCCAUCUCAACUAAAACGUUUUUAUGAAAAUUUUACACAAAGUAAUUUAUAUCAGUAUCUCUCUCUCAUCUCCUAAUAAACCUAAUCGCUUUUCU